GGGCACGAUCAUACCAGCGCUAAUGCACCGGAGUCCAUCAGAACUCCGCAGUUAAGUGUGCUUGGGCGAGAUUAGUACUAGGUUGGGAGCCCUCCACGGAAGUCCUCGUCUUGCUCCCC
rnacentral:rRNA from 1 species